GCCCCGGCCAAUUACGUGCCAGCAGCGCGGUAACACGUAAGGGCAAGCGUUGUUCGGAAUUAUUGGGCGUAAAGGGCGUGUAGGCGGUUAUGUAAGACUGAUGUAAAAUACAUUGGCUCAACCAAUGAAUUGCGUUGGUAACUGCAUAGCUAGAGUUCAGGAGAGGGAACUGGAAUUCCAGGUGUAGGGGUGAAAUCUGUAGAUAUCUGGAAGAACGCCAAAGACGAAGGUAAGUUCCUGGCCAUGGACUGACGCUGAGGCGCGAAAGCGUGGGGAGCGAACAGGAUUAGAUACCCUGGUAGUCCACGCUGUAAACGAUGUGCACUAGGCGUAGGGUGGUUUUUACCGCUCUGUGCCGUAGCUAACGUGAUAAGUGCACCGCCUGGGGAGUAUGCUCGCA
rnacentral:rRNA from 1 species